rnacentral:SRP_RNA from 1 species
ACUAGGUGUGGUGGUGUACACCUGAAGUCCUUAAUGCUAGGGAAGCUGAGGUUACUGGACUGCUUGAGGUCAGGAGUUCUGAGGUAGUAAGGCUAAAGUUGAUUAGGUGUCUGUACUAAGUCUGAUAUCAAUAUUGGUCAGUGGAAGGCUACCAAAUUGCCUAAGGAGGGGCAAACCAGCCCAGGUCAGAAAAAUGGAGCAGGUUAAAAUUUUGUUGCUGAUCAGUACUGGUAUCAGGUCUGUGAAUGGCUGCUAUACUUUCAAGUUGGGCAAGAUAGGAGAGCCAAUCUCC